ACGUGGGUAACCUGCCCUAAAGUGGGGAUAACAUUUGGAAACAGAUGCUAAUACCGCAUAAACCUAACACCGCAUGGUGUAGGGUUGAAAGAUGGUUUCGGCUAUCACUUUAGGAUGGACCCGCGGUGCAUUAGUUAGUUGGUGAGGUAAAGGCUCACCAAGACCGUGAUGCAUAGCCGACCUGAGAGGGUAAUCGGCCACACUGGGACUGAGACACGGCCCAGACUCCUACGGGAGGCAGCAGUAGGGAAUCUUCCACAAUGGACGAAAGUCUGAUGGAGCAACGCCGCGUGAGUGAAGAAGGUUUUCGGAUCGUAAAACUCUGUUGUUGGAGAAGAAUGUAUCUGAUAGUAACUGAUCAGGUAGUGACGGUAUCCAACCAGAAAGCCACGGCUAACUACGUG
rnacentral:rRNA from 1 species